rnacentral:rRNA from 1 species
UACGGAGGGUGCAAGCGUUGUUCGGAAUCAUUGGGCGUAAAGCGCGUGUAGGCGGCUUGGCAAGUCGGUUGUGAAAGCCCGGGGCCCAACCCCGGAACUGCAUCUGAAACUGCCUGGCUAGAGUCCCGGAGAGGAAGGCAGAAUUCCCGGUGUAGGGGUGAAAUGCGCAGAUAUCAGGAGGAACACCGGUGGCGAAGGCGGGUCUCUGGGCCGAUACUGACGCUGAGGAGCGAAAGCGUGGGGAGCGAACAGG